CCCUUACGACCAGGGCUACACACGUGCUACAAUGGCAUAUACAAAGAGAAGCGACCUCGCGAGAGCAAGCGGACCUCAUAAAGUAUGUCGUAGUCCGGAUUGGAGUCUGCAACUCGACUCCAUGAAGUCGGAAUCGCUAGUAAUCGUAGAUCAGAAUGCUACGGUGAAUACGUUCCCGGGCCUUGUACACACCGCCCGUCACACCAUGGGAGUGGGUUGCAAAAGAAGUAGGUAGCUUAACCUUCGGGAGGGCGCUUACCACUUUGUGAUUCAUGACUGGG
rnacentral:rRNA from 1 species